GUUGGCUGCCGCUGGAGUAACUGGUCGGCUUCUAAAAUUAUAUUUAUUAAAAUCAGUGAAUAUUUUUAUAAAAUUAGAGAUGUCACUACCACAAAACAAUCGCAACAAACGAUCAGCUGAAGAAGCAACAAAUACGCCCAGUCAGAAACGCCAACGCCCUUCAACAGUAAACACAGACGGAAAUGACUCAACCGAGAGCUGGACUUCAGAAUUGCAAUCUUAUUAUGAAAACAUGUUAGAGAAAAUUGACAAUGCCAGAUACUGGGGUGAACUGGCGAAGGACUCGUUGAACGAGGUGUUAAGUACGUUUGCUGAAAAUCGUCAAAUAUUGUUGGAAAUGGUGGAGCAACUCAACUCGCUGGAAAAUUCCGAGGAUCGUAUUUCUUUAUCAACAAACGCCUCCGAAGUUCCAGAAGUUAUGGAAGAAACGAAGAAGCAGAAAAUACCAGAUAGUGAUAAUGACAGUGACAGUUAAGCUUUAAAGACUUAAAACACUGUGAAAGCUUAAGUGUUAAAACAGUGAAAAAAAUGACAGCAAAUACCAAAGCAAAGUGCUAUAAAAAGCAUAAUUUAUACACUAAAAUUAUUUUUUUUUAAAACUUGCACUAGAUAUUUAAUUGCACAAUAUUGCCAUAUCAUUUAAUUUAAUUCCAAAGGUUCAAGUUUAUAGAAAAUUGUAGUGUAUAAAUUGCCCGUCUAAUUUUACUUAAAGUAUUUAGUCAUAUUUAUAAGUCACUAGUCUAAGUAACGUUUUUCGUUUUCCAGCUCCUGUUCAACUUUUGAGGUGAGUGAGGCAGCGAUGAAUGUUCCUUUUCCUCAAGUCUCUACUUUAUCGCCAAAAGGUCAAAAAAGUGACAUUCUGAUGUACCGACCGAUGAUAAGAAGUCAUUUUGGACUUAGUUAAACUAUUGUAGCGCUAAUUAUUCAGUUGCUGGCAGUUUAUUGCAAAGAAGACUUAAGGAUUUGAUUAUUUUUCUCCUAUCCCUCAAAAGUUAAGCAAAUGAAGCGAAAUAAUAAAAAAUAUUGUAUGUCUAGCCAUCUAGUCACGAUAUUCUGAUAUUUGCUCUAGUUUGUGACGCAAAUGUACACAAAUAGGGAAAAAUUUUUGCUCUUUGUCGCGUCACAAUCGUUAUAAAUACGCCCGAAGUCUCGCGCCAUAACCUUAAGCUUAUAUCGCAAGUGCAUCAUCAUCAGAAAACCGUCACUUUGCGGUCUUAUAGACCAAGUUUCAGGUCUAUUUUAUUUCGAUAUAUUUUCUGCCAUUUUUAGUCUCAUAGUUUUGUAAUUCCGAAUUAUAGCCUGUAAGUUUUAUUACAAUACGAGCUGUGAUAUUACAAAUAUUACUCGUAUUUAUAAAUACUGUAUUUACUUAUAAAUUAACUAACACUAAUUACCAUCUUCCCUCACGGGGAUUUUAAAUAGCGAGAACAGUAAAAAGACUUUUGUUUUUAGAGAAGAAAUCUUAAAUGACUGAAUCUAAGGCAUUAAUUUUACAAAAUUAUAAUAAAUCGUUUAAGUGUAAGGAUAUUUUUAAAAUUUUAUCAUUGAAAUUUAUACUGUGCAUAUAUGAUUGUAAAAUUUAAGACGUCAAAAUAUUGAAAUUGCGCAUAAUGAUCAAUUGUACGACAAUUUAAUUAGCACUUUUGAUAUACAAUAAAUGUAUAUACAAAAUCUCUCCAUUGCAUUAAAAUGCAAAUGUCGUAAUUAAUAUUAUCAGGUACCUGAAGGCUAAAGAAAGCCGACUAAGGCUAAAAAGCCGAAUUGAUCAUAUAAAUCGAAAGUCGAUUUGAAAAUAUAAGAUUUCGAUUACAUAUACGUAGCUUGGCACGGUAAUCAAAUCUAAGAUAAAGAGUUUGCUUACAUUCACGUAGCAUGGCACGGUAACGAAUCUCUAAAUUAUAUGAAAAAGAGUCGUAUUGCAUUCUCGUAGCAUGGCACGGCAUACGUCACUCGUAAUUGAGCUGAAAGACAAACAGUCUCGCUCAACUUAUAAGAUAAGGGCCCUUGAAUAAAAAUAUAUACGGGAUAUAAAUCCCUUGAAUAAAAAUAUAUAUGGAUAUAAUUCCCUUAUACAUGGAAUAUAAAUUCCUUGAAUACAAAUAGAUAUUAUUAGCUCUAACUUAAUGUAAUCUUUUAAAUUGCGUAAUUAAUAAAACAACUUUAACUCAACUAAUUGUAUACAUUCGGUAUAACGGGUUAAUGUAUUAACAUAGCGGAUUAGAGCAUAAUUUCAUUAUAUAAACAUGUUAAGAAUAACUAUGUUAUCCCCUACCCCUUUCCUAUCCCUAAAAGUGAGUGGAAGAUAAUGAGAUACACGAAGAAAAGUAACAUCAUACUAGCGAACAUUAUCCAAAUCACAAAGAUAUCAGGAAGACAUAAAAAGGAGACGAGUACUGAAUAUCUGGUAGUCUGUCUACAAAACAUGACAAAUGUCAGAUCAUUUGUUUUGAGACCGAUUAUAAGGUGUUAAAAUACUAAAAAUCGACGUCUACGACAACGAGUUCAAAGAGAUGUGAAAGUGAAAGUGUAUAUAAAACUCAAAGAAUAGUGAAAGUGAAUAAAGACGACAUUGUGCCGGGAUUAGGGCAAUAAAAAAACAUUUUAAGGGAUAGCAUAAGUUUAGUUAUGUUUUAUAAAAGUGUGAUAUUUUGUAAUAAAAAUAUUUUUUUGUAAUAAAAAGAAUAUUUUUAUCUUAAGAAGGGAGGAGUUAAGGAACCCACCACACAAAUGACGAACCCUAACCGUAGCAUUGCAACAUUGUAUAAUAAUCUCGCUACUGAUGUAAAUGAGUUCUAAAUAAUUUGACUAAUCCGAUGUCAAAGCCAAAAGGCACGGACAAAGGUAAUAAACUUAUAAUUUAUGAGUAGUACGUGCUGCUCAAGGUGUUGCACAUACACGUGGUGAGUUUCUUAAGAAUUCCUUUGUGCAGAAAUCCGUAUAUAAGGUGAGCUGCGUCUCCCAAGCAUCAUUCCGGGUCUACUCCUCUCUCCGUACAGUUGUAGUAAUUAUUACUUUAAUAUAAAGUUAAUUCU